CCUACGGGUGGCAGCAGUCGAGAAUCAUUCACAAUGGGGGAAACCCUGAUGGGGCGACGCCGCGUGGGGGAAUGAAGGUCUGCGGAUUGUAAACCCCUGUCAUGUGGGAGCAAAUUAAAAAGAUAGUACCACAAGAGGAAGAGACGGCUACCUCUGUGCCAGCAGCCGCGGUAAUACAGAGGUCUCAAGCGUUGUUCGGAACCACUGGGCGUAAAGCGUGCGUAGGCUUUUUCGUAAGUCGUGGGUGAAAGGCGCGGGCUCCACCCGCGGACGGCCCAUGAUACGGCGAGCCUAGAGUACUGGAGGGGGAACCGGAAUUCUCGGUGUAGCCGU
rnacentral:rRNA from 1 species